rnacentral:rRNA from 1 species
GAUGAACGCUGGCGGCGUGCCUAACACAUGCAAGUCGAGCGCACAGACGAGGCGCUUGCUCCUCUGAUGUUUGCGGCGGACGGGUGUGUCACAUGUGGAUCACGCACCUAUCAUACUGGGAACACCUCGGGACACCGGCGCUUAUACCGGAUAAACUGUUGAACCGCAUGGUUCAGCAGUGAAGGACGGUCUUGCUGUCACUUAUAGAUGGAUCCGCGCAGCAUUAGCUAGUUGGUAUGGUCACGGCUUACCAAGGCAACGAUGCGUAGCCGACCUGAGAGGGUGAUCGGCCACCCUGUAACUGAGACACGGUCCAGACGCCUACGGGAGGACGCAGGAGGGAAUCGGCGGCAAUGGGCGAAAGCCUGACGGAGCAACGCAGCGUGAGUGAAGAAGGUCUUCGGAUCGUAAAGUUGUGUUACUAGGGAGGAACUGAUGAGGAAGUAACAAUGCUCGUCGUGACGGUACCGGGUCAAGAAGCCACGGCUAACUACGUG